CGGGGCGCUGGGCGGACCCUGGCGGCCUCCCCGGCGGCGGCGGCGGCGGCGGUGGGAGCUGCCGGAGCUUCGGGGAGGAGGCUGUUUCCUGGAGGGGGCGCACACUCCCCUGAGAUCGCCCUUUACCGACCUGAAGCCUUUUCUCUUCUUGUCUUUCAGCCCGGGAAGUGGGGUACCUCUCUAUCCUACCCCAAGGGGAUGCCCGUGGCAUGAGAAGCCCCCAGCCCGUAGCUCCGGGUAGUCCUCACCUUGCCCAUUUCUAACCCCACGGAACCCCUAAUCCCAAGGAACCCCGGACCCCUUUCCGCAAGAAGUUCUUUCCUUUCAUCCAUCCCCAGGAGUUCCCCGUUUACGCUCUUUCUGAGCCUCCUUCGCCCCUAAGGCCAUGUCCCAGGUCCGCCUCUCACUCCGUAACCCGAGGAGUCCCCUAGCCGCUACCCUGGGGGCCCAGCCCCUCCUCUCCAACUGCUUCCUCUGCAGGCCUCACCGUCGCCUCCUGAAUAGCUUUACGCUCCUUGAGACCCUCAUCUUCGUGGGGCGGGAGACCCUCCUUCCUUGGGUCACCCGGUCCACCAGACUCUAUUCCUCUGAGCGGCGUGGAGGAAGAGGUAAAGAGGGCACCUCUGGAUUUCAUGACCAGACGUCACAUCUUGUAGGUCUGAUUACAAUGAAGACCCGGGAAACAAGGCAUUCUCUCACUGGGAUUGCUGUGAAGAGCUGCACCUCAGGUAUCACAGGGCUAGUGGGGAGUAACCUAUUGAAUCAUGAACGCUGCCAAUCUAGCUGGAGCCAGAGUGUGCGAAGAUAACUCACUUUUUAUUGAGUGCUCAUUAUGUGUUCUAAAUUCUCCAUGUUCCAAGUUCCUAGCUAGGGUAUUAAUCCUUCUCUAGCCUCUAACCCUCCUGUACUCACCUCAGCUCGUUCUUCCUAUUCCCAAUUGCUCACUGUGGGGAAUAUCUAGGAUACCUGUUGAAGAUGUUCUCUUUGUAUUUUAUUUCUUGCACAGCCACAUCUCCAAGAAGGUUCCCCAGGGGGCAGGGGGGUUCAAAGGUAAUUCACAGAGCUUUUUACACAUUUACACUUUGGAGUUUCCCACCUUCCUAUCAUUGCUUAUGCUGUUUUUUCCAUUCAUGCUGUUUUUCCCUCACCACUUCCUUCCCCCUGGCCCCCACACCAUUAUUAUUUUCCAUCCUCCCCGUCUUUUUACCCCUCCUCUUUGAGGUUCUUGAUUACAACAGCUAGAACUUACCACCACCAUCCACUAGGUUGAAUGCAAGGCAUCUCCUUUGACACGCUUCUGCAAAAAUUAAUUAAAAUAAAAUAAAACAAGUUACAUUAUUCUACCUCCUAAAUAGUCUCAACUGUGUCCACUUUUCUCAGAGGUGAGUGCAGGCUGGACCCACCACUUGCUGAAGGUAGGGGUACUUUUGAGGACCACAUGAGUUGAUGUAUAUAUAAAGCUUCACUAAAGCAUCCACACUACCCCGGUUUAAGGUAGCCGGGGACCUUAAACCCUUCCAUGGUGGCUUUUUGUAUUUCAUGACCUGGUCCCUUUUUUUCUCCUCACUUUUUCAUAUUCACUACAUUUCAUCCACUGGUAUUCUGUUAGUUCCUGGUGGCAUAUAGUAUUUUUCUGUGUUCAUGCUGCUCUCUGCCUGAAAUAAUCUUUCUCAUCCUUACCUUCUUCUCAGUCUCCACUUAAAUGUUGGUUCUCCUGGGAAGUCUUCUCUAACCACCUGUCUCCCACCAUAUCCUAUUCUCUAAUCUUUCUAUGUGAAAUCCUUCUUCCCCCAUAGAAUAUACACUCUUGGCACAUAUAAGCCACUCCAAAAAAACCUUUUUGCGUACAUGGGUGUUUUUUAACAUAGUCAUGUGUACAUGCUUUAAUCUUCACUCAGACUGGACUGUAAGCUUCUUGAGAGUAAGGACUGUGUAUUUUAUUUGUUUGUACCUCCUCUUCUAGGCCUUAGACAUAGAUGUGAUAAAAAAAAAAUGUACUGAAUGAAUAGAAUCUAAUAGGUUCUGUACUGGACUUCCUACCAAAUCCCAUUUUGCACACACUCUCAAAUUUAAAUAUCUGAAGAGCCAAGACCAAAAUUGACCAGCAGAGGGCAACCGACGACUAUGUUGUGAAGAGAAGAAGGCCCCCAUGGUUUACAAAAUGGAGGAUCUGGAUCCAGAAUAAACUGGCUGAGGUUGUUUGGUACUUGAGAUACUACUUUUCACUCUCAGAUGCUUGACUUGUAACUCUGGGGGUGAGAGGCCAAGACUUUGAACCUUCCUGUACAAUAGAUAAUUUCAAAUUGUAACCAUCCCCAUAGCCCACCACCCACACAAUUCCUUCACCCUUCCAUCCCAACAAAUCCUAUCUCUCUAUCCUUAUAUUUUUCUUUGUGUUGCAUAACCAGGCCCCCUUUCUCACUAUUCUUACAUAUUUACUACAUUCUACCCACUGGCAUUCUUCAUUUUCUGGUUCAGUAUUUGGCCUUGCUCUUCUGAGCUGAAGUUACCUUCUGCACCUUGGCUUGCAGUCCCACUCAUUUCAACCUCCUAAGGAAGCUUCCAUGAAUAUCCUUCCAUAACAAGUUAAAAUUCUCCUACUCUACUCAUUCAAUCCUUCAUUAAUUUAGGACAAACAAUACUAUACCUUCACUUGACACUUUCAAAUCACCAUGUUGUUUUCUACUCUUUUUUUUUUUUUUUUUUUAAAUAAAAUGUGUAUCCUCUGGGACUUCCCUGGUGGUCCAGUGGUUAAGACUCUGAGCUCCCAAUGCAGGGGGCCUGGGUUCGAUCCCUGGUCAGGGAACUAGAUUCCGCAUGCUGCAACUAAGACCCGGUGCAGCCAAAUAAAUUAAAAAGUAAAUAAAAUAAAAUAAAAUGUAUACCCUCUGCCUCCAGCUCCAUGCUAUCUUUAAUAGCCUGUGGUAGAAAACUUUGCUAUGUUUGAAACCAUUGAUUUCUUACUGGGCUUGAGAGACAUUGUACUUCCUUGCUUUUCUCUUAGAACACUGUUUCUUCAUCUCAUUUUCUCCCUUCUUCUGUGGAGUUUUACUAAAGCUUCAUUCUUUUCCCUCCUCGAGAAAGAGAAACCCCAAGCUACCAUUCCAGGCAUGGCCUCUCAGCCACACCAUCGUCCUAUAUCUCCAGCUGCCUAUAUGUCUGCACAGCUGACCUAAUGUCACCUAAAACAGCAGUCCCCAACCUUCUUGGCACCAGGGACCGGUUUCACGGAAGAUGGAAGAUGAUUCUUCCACGGACAGGGGUUGGGGGGGAUGGUUCAGGCGGCAGUGUGAGCCAUGGGGGGCGGCAGAUGAAGCUUCGCUGGCUCGCCCCGCCGCUCCCCUCCUGCUGUGCAGACCCUGACCGGUCUGAGGCCUGGGGGUUGGGGACUCCGACCUAAAACACAAACAAAACUUUUUCUUUCCCAGAAUCACAUUCUCAACUUUUUCCAUUUGUUAGUACUAUUCUCUCAAUUCCAUCUAUUUCCAACCUUAAGAAUUAUCAGACAUUUUCUAUUCUGCCAUGCCCAUCAUUCAUCAAUCAUUGCUUCCUCCAUCACAUCAUCUAUUUCAUGCUUGUGUUACAAUGGCCUUCCAGGUGCCCCAGUUUCACCACACUUAAAUCUCUAAAACACUGCUUUCUUCGUAUUAAUCCCGUCUAGGAAUUUCAGUGCCCUAUCUGUUCAAACACAUGCUCCUAUUAUCAAUAUGCCUUGCCUAAAUCACCCAUUUUUUAAAUCCUUAAUUCUUUCCAGUAAGAUACCCUAAUCUAAUCAGGCUGGGUGUCUCCACAUCACAGCCUAAUUCCUUCCUUCUGUCUCUUCACCUUAAAACCAAUGACUAGCUAAUGCCACCCUAUACUGAUUUUUUCAGCUACAAAUUCUUAGAUCUUAAUCCAAAUUGCUUUUAUGUGACUAAAAAGCUAGUGUGGGGAAAUCUAACACACAGGAACUUAUUAUCCCCUUGCAAGUUGUUGACUUGUUCCAAAUGUUAAGAGGCUUGGAUCUCUGAAGUUUAUCCAGUAAAGCAAAUCAUUAGAGGACUUGAGCUGAAAUGAUCUCAACCUACACUUAUUUCAGGAAUGCUCUCAUAGCACAAAACAUUUCUGGAACUCCUUCACAGCUAGUUUAUGAGCCACAUUUAAAUGAUUCAUUACUUCAAAAUUACUUUAAAAAAAAAAGCUGAGCACUAGCCACCUUUAUCAUGCAUCUGUUUUCCAGAUUCUGUUCCAGAUUACUUCUGGAAGUCCCUAAGGUCACAUUCUUCGCUUUCUUCGCGUUCACUCUAGUGGCUGUAUUCAUUCCUGGAAUUUCUUGAUCACCUUUGGGAAGAUAACUCCCAAAUCCACGUCUUUAACCCUAACUUCUUUCUCUUAAGCUGUAGACCCACAUUUCCUUUUUCUGGCUAACCCCCUCUUAUGGGGAAGCACUUCCAACCGAUUGUUCCCCAAAUGAGCUCAUUACUUCACCCCUGAAACCUGCUCAUCCUCUUCUCCUCCCUAUUCAGGUUAACGACACUGUCCUCUUAUUCACAGAUUAGAAACCUCUGUCUUUAUCUGUGACUCAUCUUUAGUUACAUGCCCCUUGUUAUGUGCACUGGUUGGGAGCCCAGGCUCUGGAAUGACUUUCUGGGUUCAAAUCCCAGUUCUUACUAUUAGCUACGUGAAUUUUGUACUUUGUCUCGGUUUCCCCACAUAGAAAAUGGACAUGAUAAUAGUCAUUUUUUAUAAAGCUGCUGGGAUGACUAGAUGUUUAAUAUUUAGUUCGUGACUCACGGUACGUGCUCAACCUGGCUGUUAGCCCCUUUCCUCAUUGCCAAUAUCUGAUCCUAUUUGGAACUCAGCUCCAAUGAUUCCUGAGAAAACUUCCCUCCUGCAUCCCACCAGGUAGACAGUUGACCCCUUUCCUCCUGUUGUCCCAUUGUACUUAAUUCCUACCUAUUAGCAAUAUGCUAUUCUGUAUUUCCCGUUAUUUGUUCAAGUGUACGUCACCUAAGCUUUAAAUUCCUUUCAAGGAAUAUACAAUUAUUUGUGUAUCUCAAAUGCCUAGGGCCACGUCUGGCACUUGACUGGCGGAGAGAAUCUGGUCAGUUACUAAGGCCUGUUGAUUUUUCUCCCCUCAUGUCUCUGUCCUCUUUCCUGGUCUGUUUCAAGUUCUAAUCCUCUCACAUGAAUUACUGCAAAGCUUACUAACAUUGUCACCAAAUUUUCAUUGUUUUCCCAUCGUCAUCAGAAUCAUGAAUUGGAAGUCACUCCUCUUCUCAAAAACCUACCUGUAAAACUAAAGUCCAAAUUCCCUGCCAUGUAUUCAAGGCCUACCAAGAAUUGUCCCUAAAUUAUCUUUAGUUUUACCUUCCAUUACUUCCUUCAACAAACUCUUUGCUUCAGAUUACACUAGUCUCUUCCCUCUUCAACAUGUCCUUCACCUUCACUUGUUUUUAUUCAUGGUAUUAUCUCAGCUUAAAAUAGAGAUUGCAAACUCUGGUCGACUCCCAGAGAGAUCAGUACCUUACCCAAGGUUACACAUCGCAGAGCUGUUGUCCUUGAUGUCUGGGCUCCUAGCCACUCCACUAUCUUGCCUUCACAUCUCCAGACCAAAACAUCUCCAAAUAUGGCCCACAGGGACCAGAAGCAUCAUGUGAAAAAUGCCAGUCUCUGAGUAUCGGGCCCACUAAGCCCCACUCCCAGGUGAUUCUGAUGAAGUAUAGAAUUAAUGACCUCUGCUCUAGAAAUGGAUCUUCCCUGACCACCAGAUCUAGGGCAGAAACCCUGCUUUGUGUCUGUCCUGACCCUUACCCCAGUUUGUAAUUACAUUAAUUACAGUUUGUAAUUACAUCUCCCCUUUUCCCAAUUUAUUUUUCUCCUAGGACUCAUGCUACCGAACAUAACAUGUUUUUCUUAUUAUCUUGUUUCUUGUCUGUCUCCUCAACCAGAGUUUUACAGCCAGGAGGGCAGGGGCUUUGGUUGUUUUGUCACAGCUGUAUGUAUCUCCAGCACACAGGACAGUGCCUGGAGCUCCCUAAGUAUGGGUUGAAUAAACUGAUGAGUAACUAAAAAAAAAAAAAAAAAAAACUCUGGUGGAUCCUAUGUUUUUGUUUUGUUUUAUUCUUUUUUUGGCCCACAUUAAAAAAGUAUAUAUUGAGCCAACAUUUAAAAGUUGUGACAUUUAGCAUAAACAUUAGGAUGUCCAAAAGUUCUUGAAAAAAUAAUAGGGGCAAUGUUGGGCCCCUGUUCUUGUAUAGCAGUGACCAAUCAGAGCUGCACUGCCAGCUGCCCAUUCGCUCAGGGCACAUAUUUGUCGCCUACCCAGUUUCAAAAAUCUCUCUCAACAAAUACAAGCGUACAGUGAAGAGAUUAGGCUAAUGGUGGGACAACUGGACCUAUGUCCUGAUGUUACACAACAUAAAGAACAUCUCUCCUGUGAUGUCUUUUAUCCCCAGAACUGGUUAAUUUGAAUCUCUCUGACUCUAGGGGAUUCC